UGGUGGAGUGAUUUGUCUGCUUAAUUGCGAUAACGAACGAGACCUUAACCUGCUAAAUAGUCACGCGAACUUUUCGUUCGUGGCCGACUUCUUAGAGGGACUAUUGACAUUAAGUCAAUGGAAGUUUGAGGCAAUAACA
rnacentral:rRNA from 1 species